UACCAUAUUAUAGUCAGUUUGACUGGAUUGCAGUUCACAUCAGUUGAACGCAGUGAAUGUUCAAAACGCCAAAUCUGGAACCAACAAAAAACUAUUUAUAAUGUCCAAAUUGAAACCCAAAGUACGAGGUCCACUGCUCACACAAGACUUCAAGUACACAGUGUGAGUAAACUACACAAUCGUCUACAAGCGAAUGUGUAUCGACUAUGUUAACGAGAAACGUAAUUAAUUAAAUGUUAACUGCAGCUGAAAUCCCUCGCCAGUCUCACGAACGACCGUCUGUUAAUUAUUACCCGUAAUUAUUUUAUUAGUAACCUUGUGCCCGAGUUAUGAAGAGUAAUUGCAACGAAACCCUACGAAAACUAAUGAAUGAGAUAUCGGAAUGUAUAUUUGAAAUUUUAAAUACAUCGAAAUAUAAAAACGAUAAAUUUGGGAGAGGUGCAAUCAGAAGAAAAGAUGAGACUGAAAAAAUAAACAGUAGAAACAAACGAGGAAAAGGUCAGAAGCGGUGAAAAAUAACAUUCGAAAAAAGAACUUUCGAUGAAACAGCAAAAAAACAAGCUAAAAUCUACAGUAUGGUAUACGGGCAGUAUUUACGAUUUCUUAAAAAUAAACUCGAUGUGAUUGUAUGCGCUAUUACUCUAAAAUGAUUGAAUGGAUUUCGACGCAUUUACUAGCGUUGAAAAAAAGUUCGGUAAAUAGAUACUAUAAACUACCUUUUAUCAUUAUAUGAAGCGAAAUUUCGAUGUUAUUAGACUAUAAACUAUUUUAAUGGAGGGGAUGUUAUUAAAAUUCCAAACUCUUCACACUUCAGAUCAAAUUCGACUCAGAGGCGUUGAUACUAGUAG